AUCACACUCUGACUUCGCAAGUACUUGACUGUACCCAGAAGCUUUCUGUCACUGAAUUAAAAAUUCAGUUAGUCCAGUACAAAUGCACAGUGAGUUGCUUGCAAGUUACUGAGGUGAUCUCAGAUCUAAGGGACACUUAUACCUAUAUCCCAUCAGAGACAUUCUCGACAGCAGAAUGCUCUGGAGUUGGUCACAUUCAAUGAU
rnacentral:lncRNA from 1 species